GAUGAACGCUGGCGGCGUGCCUAAUACAUGCAAGUCGAGCGAACAGACGAGGCGCUUGCUCCUCUGACGUUAGCGGCGGACGGGUGAGUAACACGUGGAUAACCUACCUAUAAGACUGGGAUAACUUCGGGACACCGGAGCUAAUACCGGAUAAUAUCUUGAACCGCAUGGUUCAAUAGUGAAAGACGGUUUUGCUGUCACUUCUAGAUGCAUCCGGGCCGCAUUAUGUAGUUGGUAAGGUAACGGCUUACCAAGGCAACGAUGCGUAGCCGACCUGAGAGGGUGAUCGGCCACACUGGAACUGAGACACGGUCCAGACUCCUACGGGAGGCAGCAGUAGGGAAUCUUCCGCAAUGGGCGAAAGCCUGACGGAGCAACGCCGCGUGAGUGAUGAAGGUCUUCGGAUCGUAAAACUCUGUUAUUAGGGAAGAACAAAUGUGUAAGUAACUAUGCACGUCUUGACGGUACCUAAUCAGAAAGCCACGGCUAACUACGUG
rnacentral:rRNA from 1 species